UGGGGUGUCGCCUAAGUGGCAGGGCACCGGACUUUGGAUCCGGCAGUGCUGGUUCGAGUCCAGCCACCCCAG
rnacentral:tRNA from 1 species